GAUGAAGAACGUAGCGAAAUGCGAUAAGUAAUGUGAAUUGCAGAAUUCAGUGAAUCAUCGAAUCUUUGAACGCACAUUGCGCCCGCCAGUAUUCUGGCGGCAUGCCUGUUCGAGCGUCAUUUCAACCCUCAGGCCCCGCCUGGCGUUGGGGAUCGGCGCGGCCCUCUCCGGGCUGCCGGCCCCGAAAACUAGUGGCGGUCUCGCUGUAGUCCUCCUCUGCGCAGUAGCAACGCUCGCACUGGAACUCGGCGCGGCCACGCCGUAAAACACCCCACUUCUGAAAGUUGACCUCGGAUCAGGUAGGAAUACCCGCUGAACUUAAGCAUAUCAAUAAGCGGAGGA
rnacentral:misc_RNA from 1 species